rnacentral:rRNA from 1 species
UACGCAGGGGGCUAGCGUUGCUCGGAAUCACUGGGCGUAAAGCGCACGUAGGCGGCUUCUUAAGUCAGGGGUGAAAUCCUGGGGCUCAACCCCAGAACUGCCCUUGAUACUGAGGAGCUUGAGUCCGGGAGAGGUGAGUGGAACUCCGAGUGUAGAGGUGAAAUUCGUAGAUAUUCGGAAGAACACCAGUGGCGAAGGCGGCUCACGGGCCCGGUACUGACGAUGAGGUGCGAAAGCGUGGGGAGCAAACAGG